UACGUAGGCAGCAAGCGUUGUUCGGAAUUACUGGGCGUAAAGAGUGUGUAGGCGGUGUGCUAAGUUCGGUGUGAAAUCUCCUGGCUCAACUGGGAGGGUGCGCCGGAAACUGGCAUGCUGGAGCGUGGGAGAGGAAAGCGGAAUUCCUGGUGUAGCGGUGAAAUGCGUAGAGAUCAGGAGGAACACCAGCGGUGUAGACGGCUUUCUGGACCACAGCUGACGCUGAGACACGAAAGCGUGGGUAGCAAACAGG
rnacentral:rRNA from 1 species